CAGCCGUAAACUAUGCGCGUUAGGUGUACUGGUGACCACGAGUCACCGGGGUGCCGAAGGGAAACCGUGAAACGUGCCGCCUGGGAAGUACGGUCGCAAGGCUGAAACUUAAAGGAAUUGGCGGGGGGAGCACCACAACGGGUGGAGCCUGCGGUUUAAUUGGACUCAACGCCGGAAAUCUCACCGGAUAGGACAGACAUAUGAUUGUCAAUCUGAAGGUUUUACAUGACUAGCUGAGAGGUGGUGCAUGGCGUCAGUGACU
rnacentral:rRNA from 1 species